rnacentral:miRNA from 1 species
ACCUGGUUAUAACCUGAGACAUUACCUGGUUAUAACAUGGUUAUAACCGUUAUAACCAUGUUAUAACCAGGUAAUGUCUCAGGUUAUAAC